GUGCUAGCUUCGGCAGCACAUAUACUAAAAUUGGAACGAUACAGAGAAGAUUAGCAUGGCCCCUGCUGUUUUUAAUUGUCCCAAAAUAUUCAACAAGUAAAUAAUAUUUUA